UACGGAGGAUCCAAGCGUUGUCCGGAUUUAUUGGGUUUAAAGGGUGCGUAGGCGGAUUUUUAAGUCAGUGGUGAAAGCCUGCAGCUCAACUGUAGAAUUGCCAUUGAAACUGAAAAUCUUGAAUUUGGUUAAAGUAGGCGGAAUGUAUCAUGUAGCGGUGAAAUGCUUAGAUAUGAUACAGAACACCGAUAGCGAAGGCAGCUUGCUGAACCAAUAUUGACGCUGAGGCACGAAAGCGUGGGGAGCGAACAGG
rnacentral:rRNA from 1 species